GAGGGCAGAGCUCAGUGGUAGAGCGCAUGCUUAGUAUGCAGGAUGCCCUGGGUUCAGUCUCCAGUACCUCCA
rnacentral:tRNA from 1 species